AGCCCCUGCAGUGCUGAAAGGUCAAACUGCAGAGAAAAAACAAGCCACCAGCUUUAGGAAGGAGACCAGAAGGCAACAAGCAGCACCGCCGAACUCUCCUUGGCUGCCGUCAGCCUCUGGCCCCGCCCCCUGCACUAGCAGCAGGGAGAUGAUUGGACUACACAGCACAGCACUGCAAUGCAGGUUGGUUGCCUUCACUCUUUCUCAUGACUCCAUCUCAUCCCUGUCGAACGAUGGUGGCUCGAAGCUGACCACCUCCUCCUCGCGGCUUUCAAAGCUCUGGUCAUAAGGCUCCGCUUCAGGCUCGUCAUCUGGAUCGUGAUACUGGGCAAAGUAAGGGUGGGCCAGCGCCUCGGAUGCCGUGAUCCGUUUGUCUGUGUCCAGCACCAGCAUUUUCUCCAG